rnacentral:rRNA from 1 species
GAUGAACGCUGGCGGCGUGCCUAAUACAUGCAAGUCGAGCGAAGAGGGGACGGGGGAGAAAAACGUGGAUAACCUUACAUCAGAAAGGGGUAACUUAGGGAAACCGGAGAUAUACAGGACACUUAAAGAUGGACUCGAGGUGCAUUAGGUAGUUGGUAAGGUAACGGCUUAAAAAGGCAACGAUGCAUAGCCGACUUGGGAGGGUGAUCGGCCACCCUGGAACUGAGACACGGUCCAGACUCCGACGGGAGGCAGCAGUAGGGAAUCUUCCGCAAGGGGCCAAAGCCUGACGGAGCAACGCCGCGUGAGUGAUGAAGGUCUUCGGAUCGUAAAACUCUGUUAUUAGGGAAGCGGUACCUAAUCAGAAAGCCACGGCUAACUACGUGCCAGCAGCCGCGGUAAUUC